UACUGGAAACGGUAGCUAAUACCGCAUAACGUCGCAAGACCAAAGUGGGGGACCUUCGGGCCUCAUGCCAUCAGAUGUGCCCAGAUGGGAUUAGCUAGUAAGUGGGGUAAAGGCUCACCUAGCGCGACGAUCCCUAGCUGGUCUGAGAGGAUGACCAGCCACACUGGAACUGAGACACGGUCCAGACUCCUACGGGAGGCAGCAGUGGGGAAUAUUGCACAAUGGGCGCAAGCCUGAUGCAGCCAUGCCGCGUGUGUGAAGAAGGCCUUCGGGUUGUAAAGCACUUUCAGCGGGGAGGAAGGCGUUAAGGUUAAUAACCUUGGCGAUUGACGUUACCCGCAGAAGAAGCACCGGCUAACUCCGUGCCAGCAGCCGCGGUAAUACGGAGGGUGCAAGCGCUAAUCGGAAUUACUGGGCGUAAAGCGCACGCAGGCGGUCUGUCAAGUCGGAUGUGAAAUCCCCGGGCUCAACUUGGGAACUGCAUUCGAAACUGGCAGGCUAGAGUCUUGUAGAGGGGGGUAGAAUUCCAGGUGUAGCGGUGAAAUGCGUAGAGAUCUGGAGGAAUACCGGUGGCGAAGGCGGCCCCCUGGACAAAGACUGACGCUCAGGUGCGAAAGCGUGGGGAGCAAACAGGAUUAGAUACCGUGGUAGUCCACGCCGUAAACGAUGUCGAUUUGGAGGUUGUGCCCUUGAGGCGUGGCUUCC
rnacentral:rRNA from 1 species